GGGGAAUCUUGCGCAAUGGAGGGAACUCUGACGCAGCGACGUCGCGUGAGCGAAGAAGGUCUUCGGAUCGUAAAGCUCUGUCUUUGGGGACGAAGGAAGUGACGGUACCCAAGGAGGAAGCCCCGGCUAACUACGUGCCAGCAGCCGCGGUAACACGUAGGGGGCAAGCGUUGUCCGGAAUUACUGGGCGUAAAGGGUGCGUAGGCGGUAUAUUAAGUCAGGUGUGAAACCCCACGGCUCAACUGUGGGCUUGCACAUGAAACUGGUAUGCUUGAGUACAGGAGAGGAAAGCGGAAUUCCUAGUGUAGUGGUGAAAUGCGUAGAUAUUAGGAAGAACACCAGUGGCGAAGGCGGCUUUCUGGACUGUAACUGACGCUGAGGCACGAAAGCGUGGGGAGCAAACA
rnacentral:rRNA from 2 species